rnacentral:RNase_P_RNA from 1 species
AGAGUCGGCCAGGCAAUCGCUGUAUCUCAUUGAGAUGCAGAGGAAAGUCCGGGCUCCGUUAGGCAAGGCGCCAGGUAACUCCUGGAGGGUGCGAACCCAUGGAAAGUGCCACAGAAAAUAUACCGCCAGCGCGCAAGCGUUGGUAAGGGUGAAAUGGUGCGGUAAGAGCGCACCGCGCGGGUGGCAACACUCCGUGGCAUGGCAAACCCCGCCUGGAGCAAGACCAAAUAGGGGAGUAAGUGGGUUUCGGCCCACACCGGGCCUGAACGGGCUCCCGGGUAGGUUGCUUGAGGCAGUCGGUGACGGCUGUCCCAGAUGAAUGAUUGUCCACGACAGAACCCGGCUUACGGCCGGCUCUUUCU